UUGUAGUAUGAAAGGGGAGACUCCCGUAAAUAAGGGUUGAACACAUAUAUAAAUGGUAAGACACUGUCGCCUUUCGGCGGCACUUACCAGAUCUUUUU
rnacentral:ncRNA from 13 species